AUCACUAUUACGUCUUCAUCAUGUAUCCCCAAUUUCUAACUCUUUCUCUCUCCUGCACCUCACCUUGUUCUUCUUCUAAUACGUAACACACAAUCCUCUUCUCACCUUCUCUCUUGUUAAGUCCCAAAUAAAAAUUCCCAUAAAACAGAAGUUAAUUCUCCAAUUCAAAAUCGAAAAUCCUAAACUUGUCUCCCUAAAUCGCGCUCUCUCUCCCUUUCUCAAUUUCUUUCUACCGGCGUUGUCACCAGCCCGCGAUCCGAGCUGCCGUCGUUGCUCGCUUCGCCGGAUACACUGCAGUUUCAGCGCCGACUCCACCGCAACGCUACCACCGUCGUCCCGGUCUACUUCCCAACUUAAAGGUACUGUACAACAUCAUUGAGGCUGGCAUAAGGAAUGGAGGCAGUGGCAGCGGAAGGGAUGUAGGCAGCGGAGGCGAGUGGAAGAGAACCAAGGCGGCAGCAGCAGCGGAAGAGACGGAGGCAGCAAGGGCGGUGUAGGCACUGCAAGAUCCAUCCGGCGACACCAUGGCCGGCCAAACAGACAGUUAAGCGGGAUGGAAGGAAACCCGGCGAGCACGGCGGUGGCGUGGCGGCGUCGAUUGGCAGAGAGAGGGAGGUGGCGAGGCAAGGCAAACGAGAGGGAGGUGGCUCCGCCGAUUGAGAAAGAGUGUGGAGGCGCGGGAGAGAGAUAGAGAAGAGGGAGGCGCAACUUUUAUGUAGGGUUUAUUGUAAUUAUUAUUUGGGUUUUUAUUAUGUUGGAUUUUUGGAAAAUUUUAUACUCCAAUAAUUUUCUUUUUAAUUGAAUAGAGUCCUAUAUUAGGUGUA